rnacentral:rRNA from 1 species
CCUACGAGUGGCAGCAGUGAGGAAUAUUGGUCAAUGGGCGCGAGCCUGAAGCAGCCAAGUAGCGUGAAGGAUGACUGCCCUACGGGUUGUAAACUUCUUUUAUAAAGGAAUAAAGAGAGGCACGUGUGCCCUUUUGUAUGUACUUUAUGAAUAAGGAUCGGCGAACCCCGUGCCAGCAGCCGCGGUAAUACGGAGGAUCCGAGCGUUAUCCGGAUUUAUUGGGUUUAAAGGGUGCGGAGAUGGGUUGUUAAGUCAGUUGUGAAAGUGUGCGGCUCAACCGUAAAAUUGCAAUUGAUACUGGCAGCCUUGAGUACAGUUGAGGUAGGCGGAAUUCGUGGUGUAGCGGUGAAAUGCAUAGAUAUCACGAAGAACUCCGAUGGCGAAGGCAGCCUACUAAACUGCCACUGACAUUGAUGCUCGAAAGUGUGGGUAUCAAACAGGAUUAGAUACCCGUGUAGUC